rnacentral:rRNA from 1 species
UACGUAGGUGGCAAGCGUUGUCCGGAAUUAUUGGGCGUAAAGCGCGCGCAGGCGGUCUUUUAAGUCUGAUGUGAAAGCCCUCGGCUCAACCGAGGAGGGUCAUUGGAAACUGGGAGACUUGAGUGCAGAAGAGGAAAGUGGAAUUCCAAGUGUAGCGGUGAAAUGCGUAGAUAUCAGGAGGAACACCGGUGGCGAAGGCGGCUUUCUGGACAGUAACUGACGCUGAGGCGCGAAAGCUAGGGGAGCAAACAGG